GAGCAAACCAUACCAGAACCAGAUACUGAACCAAACCUCACAGCAAGUUUUGACGUGACACGUAGACCAAUAGAAGAUCAGCAAGAAAUAUUAGAAGAUUCCUUAAUUGAGCCAGACCUACCAGACACUAUUCUGCCAGACAUACCAGUAACCUACACAUUGGUUGACGAAGGUUCCCAGCGUGGCCGGUUUAAGUUGGUGAGCAGUGAUGGGUAUGAAUAUACCAAAAAGUCAUCCAAGGGUGACUUUACGUACUGGAGGUGUUCCAAACGCUCCAAGACUGUCAACUGCCCAGCAACAGUCUCUCAGAAAGGCAGUGACUAUAAGAUGAACACCAGACAACACAUACACCAAGCUGACAAGGGUGCACUAAAGAAAGUAGUG